GUAGACAGGCCGGCGCGUUAGCCCUGCGCCAUUUGUAAAUGGGCUUCAUGACAGGCUGCAAGGAGGUAAGUGAUCUUGAAUUUAUGAGGUCCUUGCUUGGACGUUGAUAUUUUGUCCUUUUCGAUCUUGCUCCUGCGAACCGGGUCAGACCUUGAUCGGAGCAGCCCUAAACAGGAAUCACGGUGCUUAAAGGGUUGCAAAAUUGAGGAAGAGUAAGGGUAGCUUCAUGAAAGAUUGUGAGCAAACCUCCGGUCUAC
rnacentral:SRP_RNA from 1 species